GGUACGGGCUUAGGGCUGUCGCAGAUGGAUGAGCCUGCGUUGGAUUAGCUAGUUGGUGAGGUAAUGGCCUACCAAGGCUACGAUCCAUAGCUGAUUUGAGAGAAUGAUCAGCCACAUUGGGACUGAGACACGGCCCAAACUCCUACGGGAGGCAGCAGUGAGGAAUAUUGGACAAUGGGGGAAACCCUGAUCCAGCAAUGCCAUGUGUGUGAAGAAGGCCUUAGGGUUGUAAAGCUACUUUAGUUGGGGAAGAAAGUACUUUAAGGUUAAUAAACCUUGAGGAAGGACGUUACCCAAAGAAUAAGCACCGGCUAACUCCGUGC
rnacentral:rRNA from 1 species